ensembl:lncRNA
AUGGAUUGCAAUAGACACGCCGCAUUUUGGUCCGACUCUCCUUCUCAUCAAGAAUACCGUUACAGAAUCACCCACCACAAAAGGACCAAGCAGCGUGUCAACAGGCAGGAGCAGCGCGAGGAGAAGCGCAAUAAGGAUUUCUGGACAUGGGAGGAAAUCCUCGACGGGAGAGGACCCUGGGCUAAACCAGGGGAGUGUAGCCGCACUAGGGUGCAGCGGGAGAAGAAACAACAGGAACAGCCCAAGGAGGAGUACAGUAUGGAGUAUACUACUUGGGAGGAGAUCGACAGGUGGGCGGCCGACCCAGGGAGAGUGCCGGAGCCCGCCUGGGAUUCGCUGGAGCAGUGCGAGGAGGGUUACCGUAGAAUGGAGGCGGUGAAAGCAGAGAGGCGCUGGUAUGAGAAGGCAGCACGGCGACGCGGAUGGAAGCCUGAGAGGCAGCCCCAAAAAUUUCUUGGGGGGGGGCUAACAGGGAGUAUGGCUAUGCCAGGUAGGAGACCUGGGCAGACUCCCUGUGCUUACCGGGGGGCUGGAGAGACCGGACAGGCACCGUGUUAUGCAGUGGUGCGCACGGUGUCUCCAGUGCGGGUGCAUAGCCCGGUGCGGUAUAUUCCAGCUCCGCGUGUCUGCCGGGCUAGCUUGAGCGUCGAGCCUAAUGCCAUGAAGCCGGCUCUACGCAGCUGGUCCCCAGUGCGUCUCCUUGGGCCGGUUUACAUGGCACCAGCCUUGCGCUCGGUGUCUCCGGUUCGCCUGCAUAGUCCAGUGCGGGCUAUUCCACCUCGCCGCACUGGCAGGGCGACCGUGAGCAUUCAACCAGGUAAGGUUGGGCAGGCUCGGUGCUCAAGAGCUCCAGUGCGCCUGCACGGUCCGGUUUUUCCAGUACCACCUCCACACCCCAGCCCUCCGGUAGCAGCUCCCCGCACCAGGCCUCCUGUGCGUGUCCUCGGCCCAGUACCACCAGUGCCAGCACCACGCAUCAGGCCUACAGUGCGCCUCGCCUGUCCAGCGCUGUCGGAGCCCUCCUCCUCUCCAGCGCUGUCGGAGUCUCCCGCCUGUUUAGCGCUGUUAGAGCCUUCCUUCUCUACAGCGCUGCCGGAGUCUCCUGCCUGUUCAGAACUGCCAGUUAGCAUAGAGCUGCCAGUUAGCAUAGAGCUGCCAGUUAGCAUAGAGCUGCCAGUUAGCAUAGAGCUGCCAGUUAGCAAAGAGCUGCCAGUUAGCAUAGAGCUGCCAGUUAGCAUAGAGCUGCCAGUCUGCAUGGAGCUGCCAGUCUGCAUGGAGCUGCCAGUCUGCAAGGAGCCGCCAGAGCUGCCUGUCUGCAGGAUGCCGCCAGAGCUGCCAGUCUGCAAGGAGCCGCCAGAGCUGCCAGUCUGCAAGGAGCCGCCAGAGCUGCCAGUCUGCAAGGAGCAGCCAGGGCCGCCAGUCUGUAUGGAGCAGCCAGGGCCGCCAGUCUGUAUGGAGCAGCCAGGGCCGCCAGUCAGCAUGGAGCAGCCAGGGCCGCCAGUCAGCAUGGAGCAGCCAGGGCCGCCAGUCAGCAUGGAGCAGCCAGGGCCGCCAGUCAGCAUGGAGCAGCCAGGGCCGCCAGUCAGCAUGGAGCAGCCAGUCAGCAUGGAGCAGCCAGUCAGCAUGGAGCAGCCAGAGCUGCCAGUCAGCAUGGAGCAGCCAGUCAGCAUGGAGCUACCAGAGCUACCAGUCAUCAUGGAGCAGCCAGUCAGCAUGGAGCAGCCAGAGCUGCCAGUCGACCAGACUCUCCCAGAUCUGCCAGUCGACCAGACUCUCCCAGAUCUGCCAGUCGACCAGACUCUCCCAGAUCUGCCAGUCGACCAGACUCUCCCAGAUCUGCCAGUCGACCAGACUCUCCCAGAUCUGCCAGUCGACCAGACUCUCCCAGAUCUGCCAGUCGACCAGACUCUUCCAGAUCUGCCAGUCGACCAGACUCUUCCAGAUCUGCCGAAACCACCAGCCAGCCAGGUAGAUUCAUCAACCUGCCUGAGCUUCCUCUCACUCCUGAGCUUCCUCUCACUCCUGAGCUUCCUCUCACUCCUGAGCUUCCUCUCACUCCUGAGCUUCCCCUCAGUCCCGAGCUGCCUCAGUCCCGAGCUGCCCCUCAGUCCCAAUCUGCUCCUCAGUCCAGUGGGGUUCUGGGUGAGGACUACUAGGCCAUGGUCGGCGGCGAGGGUGGACUAUCCAGGGACGCGAGGAGAAGGGACUAAGACAUUGAUUGAGUGGGGUCCACGUCCCGCGCCGGAGCCGCCACCAUGGACAGACGCCCACCCGGACCCUCCCUAUUGUUUUGAGGUGCGUUCGGGAGUCCGCACCUUAGGGGGGGGGUUCUGUCACACCCUGGUCAAAGUAUUUUGUGUUUAUCUUUAUUUAUUUGGUCAGGCCAGGGUGUGGCAUGGGUUUUUGUAUGUGGUGUGUAUGUAUGGGGAUUGUAGCUAG